UACGUAGGGUGCGAGCGUUGUCCGGAAUUAUUGGGCGUAAAGGGCUCGUAGGCGGUUUGUCGCGUCGGGAGUGAAAACACUGGGCUUAACUCAGUGCUUGCUUUCGAAUACGGGCAGACUAGAGGUAUGCAGGGGAGAACGGAAUUCCUGGUGUAGCGGUGAAAUGCGCAGAUAUCAGGAGGAACACCGGUGGCGAAGGCGGUUCUCUGGGCAUUACCUGACGUGAGGAGCGAAAGUGUGGGGAGCGAACAGG
rnacentral:rRNA from 1 species